rnacentral:rRNA from 1 species
CAACCCUUGUCCUUAGUUACCAGCACGUUAUGGUGGGCACUCUAAGGAGACUGCCGGUGACAAACCGGAGGAAGGUGGGGAUGACGUCAAGUCAUCAUGGCCCUUACGGCCUGGGCUACACACGUGCUACAAUGGUCGGUACAAAGGGUUGCCAAGCCGCGAGGUGGAGCUAAUCCCAUAAAACCGAAUCGUAGUCCGGAUCGCAGUCUGCAACUCGACUGCGUGAAGUCGGAAUCGCUAGUAAUCGUGAAUCAGAAUGUCACGGUGAAUACGUUCCCGGGCCUU